CCUACGGGGGGCAGCAGUGAGGAAUAUUGGUCAAUGGGCUUACGCCUGAACCAGCCAAGUCGCGUGAGGGAAGACUGCCCUAUGGGUUGUAAACCUCUUUUGUCAGGGAGCAACGCCGGCUACGUGUAGCCGGACUGAGAGUACCUGAAGAAAAAGCAUCGGCUAACUCCGUGCCAGCAGCCGCGGUAAUACGUAGGGUGCGAGCGUUAAUCGGAAUUACUGGGCGUAAAGGGUGUGCAGGCGGUUUUGCAAGAUGGAUGUGAAAGCCCCGGGCUUAACCUGGGAAAGCCAUACAUGACUGCAAGACUAGAGUGCGUCAGAGGGGGGUGGAAUUCCAAGUGUAGCAGUGAAAUGCGUAGAUAUUUGGAAGAACACCGAUGGCGAAGGCAGCCCCCUGGGACGCAACUGACGCUCAUACACGAAAGCGUGGGGAGCAAACAGGAUUAGAUACCCGGGUAGUC
rnacentral:rRNA from 1 species